rnacentral:rRNA from 1 species
CCUACGGGUGGCAGCAGUGAGGAAUAUUGGUCAAUGGGCGCGAGCCUGAACCAGCCAAGUAGCGUGAAGGAUGACUGCCCUACGGGUUGUAAACUUCUUUUAUAAAGUAAUAAGGUGAGGCACGUGUGCCUUUUUGUAUGUACUUUAUGAAUAAGGAUCGUCUAACUCCGUGCCAGCAGCCGCGGUAAUACGGAGGAUCCGAGCGUUAUCCGGAUUUAUUGGGUUUAAAGGGAACGGAGAGGGGUUGUUAAGUUAGUUGUGAAAGUUUGCGGGUCAACCGUAAAAUUGCAAUUGAUACUGGCAGCCUUGAGUACAGUUGAGGUAGGCGGAAUUCGUGGUGUAGCGGUGAAAUGCUUAGAUAUCACGAAGAACUCCGAUUGCGAAGGCAGCAUACUAAACUGCCACUGACAUUGAGGCUCGAAAGUGUGGGUAUCAAACAGGAUUAGAUACCCCUGUAGUC